GAUGAACGCUAGCUACAGGCUUAACACAUGCAAGUCGAGGGGAAACGAUAGAGAGAGCUUGCUUUUUCUAGGCGUCGACCGGCGCACGGGUGAGUAACGCGUAUCCAACCUGCCCAUCACUUGGGGAUAACCUUGCGAAAGUAAGACUAAUACCCAAUGACGUCCAUAGAAGACAUCUGAAAUGGAUUAAAGAUUUAUCGGUGAUGGAUGGGGAUGCGUCUGAUUAGCUUGUUGGCGGGGUAACGGCCCACCAAGGCGACGAUCAGUAGGGGUUCUGAGAGGAAGGUCCCCCACAUUGGAACUGAGACACGGUCCAAACUCCUACGGGAGGCAGCAGUGAGGAAUAUUGGUCAAUGGGCGAGAGCCUGAACCAGCCAAGUAGCGUGCAGGAUGACGGCCCUAUGGGUUGUAAACUGCUUUUAUAAGGGAAUAAAGUGAGCCUCGAGAGGCUUUUUGCAUGUACCUUAUGAAUAAGGACCGGCUAAUUCCGUGCCAGCAGCCGCCGUAA
rnacentral:rRNA from 1 species